rnacentral:rRNA from 1 species
CCUACGGGAGGCAGCAGUGGGGAAUAUUGCACAAUGGGGGAAACCCUGAUGCAGCGACGCCGCGUGAGUGAAGAAGGAUUUCGGUACGUAAAGCUCUAUCAGCAGGGAAGAAAAUGACGGUACCUGACUAAGAAGCCCCGGCUAACUACGUGCCAGCAGCCGCGGUAAUACGUAGGGGGCAAGCGUUAUCCGGAUUUACUGGGUGUAAAGGGAGCGUAGACGGCAGCGCAAGUCUGGAGUGAAAUCCCAUGGCUUAACCAUGGAACUGCUUUGGAAACUGGGCAGCUAGAGUGCAGGAGAGGUAAGCGGAAUUCGUAGUGUAGCGGUGAAAUGCGUAGAUAUUAGGAGGAACACCAGUGGCGAAGGCGGCUUACUGGACGGUAACUGACGUUGAGGCUCGAAAGCGUGGGGAGCAAACAGGAUUAGAUACCCUUGUAGUC